rnacentral:lncRNA from 10 species
CCCUUCCUUCUACAAAGUGUAGCUGUUGUCUUCUUUCCCGCUCUCGAUAUGGGGUGAAGUGUUGAGCAACAUAAGAAGCUGGAGUCUCUUUCAAAGACAUCUGUACUCUAAAGGUAGCAGGUUUAUCAAAUGGCCACAAUUUGAGCAGAUGAGGAAAUGGAGGCUCGGUGAGGCUAAAUGCAAGUUCACAAAGCUAAUCUAUCCUUUUCAUCCCUCACACCUGGCCCAGGCCCAACACCUGGCACAGAGCGUGGCUCCUGCCAAGCCAUCUCGAGUGGUUUCUUCAGUGAAGAUGUGGGCAACCUCGAAAAGAACACAGAAGGUCAAGAGCAUCUGUGAAUAAACCACGGCUUUCCCUAGCCCAUUUGUUGGCAGCUCUCAAGCUAUCAGGGGCUUCCAGUCUGCAGGCUUACAGAUUGAUUUGUGAAAAGAGAAGGCCUCAGGGCUUGGAUUGACCAGCUGAGUACACUGCAGGUUAUACUACAGGGGAGACUGGCAUUUAUGAAAUGGAAGUUUCACAGGCAGAUAAUCUCUCCUGGACCUUUGGGCUUGAGGAAAAAAAGGGCAGGAAGGAGAACAGAAUUUUUACAGCCUUGUAUAUAAAGAUCUUCUUGUAAAACCAAACUUCAAAGGGAUAGAGAAUAUCGUUCCUUUCCAAUGAGUUCAUUAAUUAUCACAGCAUCUCUGCAAGGGAAGCACACUGGAUGGAAUAUUUCUCAGAUGAAGAAACUGAGUGUGAAAAGGUUUGAUUAUUAGCAGACUAGAAAAAUAUAACAUCAUACUUCCAGGCUCCUCUUCCAGUGUGCCAGCAACCUCCACCAGGCCAUUUAGGCACUCGUUAAAGAAACAUUUAUGGAGACCCUGCUUUAUGCCAGGCACUGUGCAGGGAGACAGGAAAUAUGGUCCCUGUCUUGGAGGGUUCCACAUGUCACUUGGUCACCAGGGAAGUUUGCAGAGUCUAAACAGGCAAACAAAUACCUGUGACACAAGGUGCUAAGUAGAAGGAUAGAAGAAUGGAGAAAGAGCAAAGAAGUCGCAGAAAGGAAAGUGAUGAUUAUUUUUGCCUGGGAAGAUUAAAAAAGACAUUAACUGAAAUCUUUAGUUCAUCACAAGAUUUUGACAGCCGGCAUUAGCAAAGUUCUGGAUUAACCCUUUGAAUGAAUUUGUUAAAUGAGGAUAAGCCUUCCCUCCACAUUACUGUGUUUUCACAAUCUUACAGAAUUUGUUAUCCACACCCCUACCUCCACCAGCAAUUCAAAUGUGCUAUGAAGACAGUUGCCAUAAUCCCCAACAUUUACUCAUUGCUUAUCAUGUACUAUACUAAUGUUGUUCCGUGAACUAUCCCAUUUAAUUCUCAUAGCAAAUCUAUAAGUAAAAAAUGUUUGUGUCUCCAUUGUACAGAUGAAGGAGGUUAAAGGGAUUAAGUAACUUGCCCAAGUGUUCACACUGAGAAAAAUCAGAUUUCAGAUCACUGGUAUUUAAGGAAGAGCAGCCCUUGCUCAAAUUAAGGAGGGUAAUUAUUUGUUUUGGUUACACGUCUAUUGAGUUACACAAAUUAGCAUUCAUUUUUGGAGCUAAAAAUUAAUUAAUAGCAUUUAUUUAGAUACAGUUAAUAUUCACCUUUCAUAUAAAUUUUUCCUGUUUCUCUCUUUGUAACACCCAAACUGCCCCUCCUCUAAAAAACACUCUUAAUAGAAAUGUAAAUAAAAUCACUAAUUGUAUGUCAUAUUAUGAGCUACAUAGUUGAGCUGAUGGACAAUAGUUCCCCAAGUUCAAAAUACCUUUCAUCUACGCAUUAAUGGUGACUUAUAAAGAGGCAGCUUGGGUUUUUUUAAGCUUCAGCUCAAAAUAUCCUUGACUGGGUGUGUUAAACCAAAGCACCUAAUUAGAGAUGACUUAAAGUAAUACCUUCCUUUGUCACUUAAUAUCUUCUAACCACGAAAAUCCUGAGGUUUUUACCUGUACCACAGAAACCUCACUUCCAAAGACAUGAUAAUCACUGUAGGCUUUUAGCCUCCUGAACUCAGACAAUGUGGAACGCCAGGACUCAUCUCCACCGUUACUAUAAUGGAAAAUUUCUGAUUACCGCAAUCUUCCAGCAGAGUUAAGUAGAAUCCCACAACAAAUAUCCAUUUAGAGAAAAGUGACUCACCAAUGAAUUAAUUAUUCAGAGGAUCAGUGUAGAUGGCAUUUAAAUGCUCAGUUUUUAGCCUCACAUUGCCUGGGUUUGAAUCCCAUUGCCUCUACUAAGUAUGUGACAUUGGGCUAGUUUUUCAAACUUGCUAAAUUGAAUUUACCUCAUUAGUAAAAUAUAGAUGAUAACUGGUGGAGACUGAAAGUUGCCCAGAGACCUAAUGGGUUUAGAUAAGAUUUCAAAGAAGCCUGAAUGUCUAUAAAUAAACGACCAGUGCCAGCACUGAAAUCCUUUCUCUCACAGUAGUAGAAUAAUGGCUGAGUACAUGCCUGCUCUACCAGACUGUAUUUCCUUGUCUCUCUUACAGCCGGGUGCAGCCAUGACUGAAUUAUCUCUAAGGGAGUAGGAAUGGGAAUUAGGUCAGGACACAGGGAUCCUGGGGGUGCACUCCUCAUGCUCUCUUUCCCCUUUCUCCUGCCUAUAGAUGGUAACAACUGCAACAAUUAUGGAAGACACAUGCUGAGGAACCACCCCAGCAUCCUGGGUCCCUGGAUGGAGCAGAGGCAUAUAUUUACGAGACUUAUGAGAAAAGCAGACUUCUAUCCAGUUUGAGUCAUUACAUUUUGGCGUAUUUAUAUAAUAAUAGUAUCUAAAUUAUAAAAUACUUACAAGGGUUGAGAAAGGUAAUUCAUGAGCUCUUAGCACAGUGUCUGGCACUUCAUAUAACAAAGCAUCAGCUAUUCAUGUGAGAGAUAGUGUAGGGGGUAACAGGGGAACUUUGCACCCAGAAUCUGUGUUCAAAUUCCGGCUGUUUCUUAAAAACCUGUUUAAACAGAGAGAUGCUUUGUAGUAGGGAAAGAACGACAUGAGAAGUUUCCUUCUUAUUCAGGAUCUGGCUGAGAAAACCUGUGGGCAAAGUUAGGGAUUCUUUGCAUUAUCAUCCUGAUGUUAGUUCAUUUCUGCAGUGAAACCAAGCUACUGCAGAGUUCCAAGUGCUGUGACUCAGAAGCUCUCAGCUGACCCAGAAAACCUUCAGCCAGAUUAUAGAAGACACAAGGUCAAAUAGAUAAGAAUCUAAAAGCCAAACAGAAGCCUCUAAUUAAUGCCAACAAUCUGCUCUUUAUAGCUCCAGUUUGGUCACUAGUUGACUGUUAAAUUAACUGUAGUUCAUUUCCUGGUACAGUCAACUUACAAUUAGACAUAAUAAUGAAGGGAAGUAAUGACAUUCAUGAUUUAAAAUAGCAAGUAAUACAAAAAUAAUUUUAUUUGGCUUUGGAAUUGUCGGCAUGUAGCACAUACACGUAUAUUUACUCUUUAUCAUAUACACAGGGAAAUGCCCCCUCCCAAAAGAAUUGAAAACAAUUGGCUAUCUCUGUUUUUCUGUUGCUAAUUUUCUAUUCCUGUGAUUAACUUUACACAGGACUAAAAUAAAAUUAUUUGCUUUCUUACUAGUGUGAUUAUGUGAAAUCAUUCCUGGACUGGUAUUUUAUUAAAAGACAUUCAAGCAUCUUUUAAAUCUUAACUUGACUCAUCAGGUUUCUUGAAAAUGUGAACUGUAUUUCCUCCAGCACAAUCACAAACUCCAUUCUGGUUGGGGCUGAAAGAUCCUGUCCAGGAUGCUGUUGUCCAGCUACGUCUCUCUACCCACUCCCUUCUGUGUAUGUGCCCUAUUACAAAAGGAGAGUCAAUGGAGAGACCUGAAAUUCUUUAAUGAACCGUUUUCAGUUUGGUUGUUUCAUUUCUAAGGAGCUUCACUUUUAGUGGGGCUCUUCAGGAAGAAAGGUAUUUAAGGACUACAGGAGACGAUUUGUUUCCUAACCUUUUGACCCAAGUCAAGGGUCUGGUUUUCUCCAGGCACAUUCUAUUAUCAACAGCAGGAUAUACAAGACCACAGAAGUGUACAGAGGGGAUAAUUAACAUUGGGAGGAAAAAAGUAACCUGCACUCCAUAGCUACUGAUAAGAAAGCAGCAGCAUUGCCUCCUAAAUCAGCUCCUGGAAACUCAAAGAAAGUUGGAUCAAUGACCACCUAUCAUGGACCUAAGACCUAGUUAAUCUGCUGUAGCAAAGAGACCACACCUGACACAGCAGCUGCAAUUGUGAGUACUACAUGUCUGAGUUUGCAGUAGUCCACUGUCAUCCUCCAGUAUCUGGUUUUUGCCGGGGCCAGACUGACGAAUUAAACAGAGAUAUGAUGGGGCCCACAACCUCAGCAUCUUUUCAUCUUUAAAGGUGGCUGACUCCAGAAGUGACUUCAGGAUCUUUCUCUAGGAAGCCACUACACUCAAGAGGAAACUGAUUUGCCACAGCUGUAUUUCCUUAGGGUCUGGCACUUGCGUCAUUCUGGUUUUCUUCUCCUGAAGAACUAGAGUACUACCAUGGGCCUUGCUGCCUGCCAAGUGAACUUUCUGAUGCUGAGCACAGCCUGCACACCUGGGAUCACUGGAGAAGACAGACUGCCCUCCCUGCCUCCCUGCCUCCCUGAAGGAGGGAUUUAGUAGAGGUCAUUGGGUUAAAGCCAUAAGAACACAUACAUCUCACUUAGAUUUCAAGGACACAGUAUAAAAAGAAUAAAAAGAAGUGUUAACUUCUUAAAGCCAUGAAAGGAAUUUCAGGAAGACUGUAAGCAGCAAUUGAGGGCCAGCACAGGGAAAGGAAACUGGAAAGUGAAGGAGACCAGACGGUGGUGGAACAGAUCGAGACCGUGGAUGGAUGAGGGAUGAGGAAAUAAUUAUACAAUCCAUCACACUUCUCUUAUUGUUGCCAGAAGCUCAGAGUGAAACUUAUGAUAUAAAAAUAGUAACUAUAUUGGCUUUCAUCACUAGACUAUCUGCUCUCACCUCCCUUUAGAGGGUUUAGGGUUUUUGUUUUGUUUUGUUUGAACAAUAUGAGGUGUAUCUAAAUAUAUACAUAUUGCAUAUGUAUUAAUUUCUACAUUUUCCAUUUACAAUAAUAAUGGAUCUGUCCUAGCCUUGCUAAAAGCCCAUGUGACCUCAGACUUCUAUAUGGAAGGAGCGAUUUUAAAAAGUAGCACGAAAUAAAAAGCCAGAAAUCUUCUGUUGAUCUUCUUCUCUCGGUAUAGCUCAAGAAGUCUUCAUUGGGAAUCGAAUUUGUGUUGAGCUCUGAAUUAAAUGCUGUGAAAAACAUAAAACAGAAACGGUGACCAUGAUACUUAGGAGCUUAGCAUCUUGGAGAGGCUGACUAUACAAAAACAUAAUAGUUCAUGUAAAAAGCUGGCUCAUGUGGUUAUAUUGUGUGAGUAGUAAACCUCUGUUUUUGUAAGUGAUUGAGAUUUUGCAGGUCUCCUACACACAGCACACCCUAAUCCAGUGAUUCUCACAGUGUGGGGCCCAGACUAGCCUCAUCAGCAUCACCUAAAUAUUGCUAGAAACAAAAAUCUUCAGGUCCCACCUCAGACAUACUGAACCAGAAACUCUGGGGUGGGGCCCAGGAAUCUGUGUACUAUGUCAGGGGAUUCUGAUGUGCUAAAGUUAAGAAAAUUCCAACCACAAUAUUCUUUACAAUGCCCCACAUUUUCCCCUCUUCCACCUCCUGUAACACAGGACCAGAUCAUGCAACUCUACAUAAUCCAAAAUGCAACGGCAGAUAGAGGAAGAAUAGAAUUCAAACAGAAGCCACCUUACUGAAGGUCCAAGCUAGCAGUUCCCUUUGUAAAAGUUAGACUCAAAUAUUUACACAAGAGGUUGUUUAAAAUGGUAUAAGCUCAAGGGAAGGUGGCUGAAAGACACAAAUUCAAAGAAAAGAAAAGACCACAAUUAUUGAUCAUCUCCUAUGUGUUAUUUGAUCCACCACUUCCUUACCUAGUUCCUUAACCCAAACCUACAAAGAAGGCAAAAUUAUCAUUUCCAAUUUACAGAGGAAGACAGAGAACCUGAGAGCAUUCAAGGAACUUUCCCAAGACUCUACAGUUUGUAUAUGGUAGAGUGGAUUUGAAAGCAAAUCUGUCUGACCUGACCACAGAGCCUGUGCGCCCUACAACUCACCUCCAUUAAAGAAAUAAGCUAUUUUGUGAGAGUGCCUGAGAGCUCGGAGGCCUGAGUAAUGAGUCAACCCCCUGAUCAUAUUACCAACUCUACCCCUAAUUUGUUGGGCGUCACUUCACUAUUGUGCCUGUAGAGUUUUUUUGCUUGAAAAAUGAGAGAUUCUGCUACUUACCACCCACUUACUUACCUGGAAUGAAUUGAGGUAUGUAAAACUUGAGAGAACUAAGGAUGAAAAGUGUUAUAAAUAGUAUUAUUACAAGUAGCAAUAAAUCACGUAAAGAAUGUAAUGUGCAGGUUGGAACAUAAACUGGAAUUAAGUCUCAUAAAUAUAAAAUAACCCAAAGCAUGUGGUUCUUUGAAUUCUGACAGUAAAAUGUUUCACCUAAAUUUUAAGUUACAGAGGCAUCCAAGGAGCCACCUCAGAAAGGCACCCUCUGAGAACACUGGGGUAGGAAAAUAACAAGGAACUUUUUUUUUUUUUUUUAGAUGGAGUUUUGCUGUGUUGCCC